AUCAGCACACAACUACAGUACGUCUGUUGCUCUCCAUCUCCUUCACACUACAACACACAGACAAAAGACCAGGGAACUCAUCUCCUUCAUACCCACACCACACAUACAGCUCCUGUAUCUCUCUCUCUCUCUCGAAUCCACCUGUGAACACAAGAUAUUUCACCCACACACCACAACAACCUCCUCACCCUCUCAACCUGCUGGAGCCGACAAUCGGAGCCGGAACCGGAGGCCGGUUUCUUCUCCGGUCGCGCACGACACCCACCCCCCUCGUCUCUCUGAUGAUGGUAACGAGGUAGGACGAAGAUGAUGAUGUGUUGAUGAUGAUCGACGACCAGAAUAGCCGGUGGUGCGGCGGCUACGAACAGAAGAGAGAGGAGCACGGAGAGAGAGAAAGAGAGAGAGAUCUGGUGGAGAAGGAGAAUGACGACAUCGACGGCAGACGGGCAGCUGCGGCGGCGGUGGUGGAUCUCGACGGCAGCUGGUCGUGAUGACACGGCUGCGCCGCUACUCACGGUGGAGGUGGCGAUGGAUUUCGACACCCCCCCUAAAUCGAGUUCCCUGAAUGUGAUUCCGGCUUCUGAUCAUUCCGAUUUGGUAACGAUGGUGGCUGUACUGGUUGACGACAGCCGCACUUCGUGACUUCUCAGGUGGGGUGUGGUUGUUCCGGUUUGAAUUUUAGCUUCGGUUCAAGUCAGAUUUGAUUUGGUUUAACUCGGGUUGACUAGGUCAAACCGAGUCAACUCAUUGUUCGGGUUAGCGACAGUGGAGCCGGAAAACGACAGUGAUGUCGGCUGGAUUGGUGGUGGAUAUCCUCGGAUUGGGUUUCGAUUCACAUUCGGUGUAAGUUUGGUUCAACUCGGUUAACAAAGUCAAACCAGUCAACACGUCAGGUUGACUGGUCAACGCUGGUCAACAGGAGUCAAGGGCAGUCAACAACAGUCAACGGAUUGGUUUCGGGUCAACAGCGGUCAAACAGGUCAAACGAGGUCAACUCAGGACCCGGUAACGACUUAAACAUAACGAGAUUUAUUGAUUUCGUUGUUUUUUUUAGUCUACGCGAACCGAGCUUGAACCGCCGUACUCUAGUUUAUUUAUUUUAGCGUUCGUUAUAUUUUGCGAAAGAUAUAUAUAAUUGUGGUUGGUUUAU